ensembl:miRNA
UAUUGAGUUGGUCAAAAAGUUCAUUUGGAUUUUUCCUUAACAUGUGAUGGAAAAACCCAAAUGAACUUUCUGGCCAAUCCAAU